ACCACUUCACUUCUUACUCCUCUCAACCUCUUCUGCAUACCUGAAUCAGUCACUGUCCCUUCUGCAACCCUAUCUACUCUUCGACCCACUGUCCCCGCCCAUCCGUCGAGCCACUAUUACCGUCCAUCCGUCGAGCUCGGCCGCCGUCCGUCCGUGUUGCCACUGCCCCUAAGUCUCCAACCGCUAUUCUCUUCUUCCGCGAGCUCGGCCUAUCCCAUACUCUCUGCAUCUUCUCGCCGUCGUUCUUAUGUUCUCGCCAUCGUCUGGUCGGCGUUGUCUUCGAAGGUCCCAUUGGUUUUGUUUGGUGGCUCUCGAAAGUAUACUUCUGCUUUGUAUGUUGCAACAGUGAAAGCUAAUUCAGUCGAAAAGGUUGAGUAUGAGAUUCUUCAGUUUGUUGAGGAAGUUAAGAACAACAUUAUAGUUUCCUAGUUCAUAAGUGACUUGUAUGUGAAGAAAGAUCAUAAGACUUUGCUUGAUGACAUUUCAAGUAAUGCUUUAAAUUUAGAAGAUAUUUUAAAGUUUA